ACAAAGAAAGAAAAACACGAACCAGAACGCAGAGCAGGGAUGUGCUAACAAGACGUUUAUGACAGCUAGGAUCCAAGGACACUCAUCAAAGCAAUCACAGAAGGCCACAUUCUUCUCCUCAGUGGUGACCUUUAGCAUCAGCCUUCUUUUUAGACUUUGCUUUAGCCUACAGAGAAGUAGAAAACAAUGUUAGCUAUGCAUCUUGAGCACAAAAGAACAACCGGCAUUAGCUUGUCUUCAUCAUGAUAAACAAAAAGGAAAAGAUCAAAAACAUUUAUCAUGAUCAUGAUCAGCACAUACAAUGGGAUGGACAAUGUUUAAGUAGAGCUAUGGAUGUUUUGGUUAGAUGAGGUGACUCGAUUAGUAUUAGUGAUGCGAAAGGAGAUAGAGGAAAAACUAGUCAGGCUCUACUAAAACAAUAAAAUCAUAUUUGAAUGCUUGUGAUUUUAGUACUGUGAAGAGCUCAGGAUGGAUGCAUAGAGCUGCACCCAAAUGCUGUUGAUGUCAUUGUUGAUAAUUAGGAACACAUCAUUCAUUCAUUACUACCAAGGAUUAAUUUCAGGAAAAUGGACAUUUUCAUGAUCCUUCCUGAUCAAACAAAGAAAAAUAAAGAAGACACUGUUGCACACUUUAAAUGCCAUCUUUUCCCAGUUACCCACAUUCCCCUAAAUAGAGCUUGAGGAUAUCAUCACUUGCUCAAAUCACUUCUGACACAGAGACAUGAGCCAUAUGCAAUGGACAUGUAGAUAGAGGCCUAGGUAAGCUAGUCAACCACAGAUGUUACACAACAAGCACAAUUAAUCAGGGUAAAGUGCUCCAUAUAAGUUUGCUCAUCAGGCAUCAAACCAGACAAGACACAAGAAACAAUUGAAAGGGAGAUAUAGAGAAGAAAAUUCAAAGAAUGGAAGAUAUAAACAGAAUCUAUCACAAUUCAAUGAUUUACUAUUACAAAUAAGCAGAGUUCGCGAUUCCUCUGUAGCACUCAACCAGCCAUGCUAAUCCAUUACAAGUUUAUUCUUAAACCCUAAACCUGAUUGGAUACUCCAAGUGCGUGUAAAUGAAAAAAUAUAUAUCAUGGUUUAAGAAUCAGCAGGUCAUCAAUUAACAAAGCAAUGGCACAAACAACUUUUGAUACUUAAACCGUCAGAAUUAGCACUAUGACAAAUGACAUGUAGAUGAACAUGGAACUCGAAUAUCAUUGUAAUCCGAUAUUUGCAUCAGGACUUUACGAAAGACAUCAUCGAUUAUAAUUUCUAGAUUCAAGCUAAAUCAGGCCCGCCCAUGAAAAACCCAUCCUGGACCCUAAAUCGAGAGAGAAGAAGAAUCGGAGAUGACAGUGUGCACAUGCAGAAAAGCGGAUCGGCCGGAUAAAACAACAUAACCCAAGGAAGCGUAAGGAUCUGAUACCACAAACAAUCAAUGAUCAGCACCAUAUGUAGUCACGACAACAGCGCAUGGAAAUGAGAGAUAAAUGCACAACCAAAAGGGGCAAAUAUCGGAAGAAAGAGAGAGAACUAUAGGACAAAUACCCGGAGAUAGGAAAGCUUGAUGCUUCCGUAGACAGUCCCGAAGGUAAAAGCCGAGGCGCGAGCCACCUAUCAAAAUCCGAACAGGCGAUAAGAGGAAUCGAAAAUCCAUCGAUAGAUAUAGAGAGAGAAGGGAGGACGUACGAAGGCGAGGGUGCUGACGCCGGAGUAAGGGCCUGGAAUCGCCAUAACGAGCUCAGAGAGACACGGCAGAGAGAGCCGGGGUGCCAAAGAGGGAAGACUGAGGGAGAGGAAGAGAUCGAGAUAGGGAGAGGAAGA
rnacentral:lncRNA from 1 species